GAUUUGAUUGAAAUUGGCCAAGUGGUUGUGGAGAAGAUGGCAAUGUAAAAAGUUAAUAACAACAGGUAAAUUUCGAUUGGAAAAGCUCAUUUGUAUUGUGGAUAUUGCCUGAGAUAACUUAGUGGUUAGAGCACCUGACUAGUAAUACAGGGGUCUCAGGUUAGAUUCCUGGUCCAGUCAUAUCAUGGGAACGAAGGGCCUUGGAUUCGAUUCCCGGUUCAGCCAUAUCUUCUUUUCCUUCCCAUUACAUUGACAUAUCACAAACUAUCCUUGACAAUUCAGUUUGAUAUGAUUACACUUUGUUUAUUUUGUAGGACGGUGGAGAUUUAGAUAAGUGGUGUGAAGUUAUUGAUGGUAAACAGAAGACGGUGACCUUGAAUCUGAAGAUUUGUGAUGAAGACUGGACGUUUGGGGUCACUCUCUGUUACAGUACUACAAAUCUAAUUUAGCCGUGCCCCACUCAGCCACAAAGAGGUUGUCUCUGAUGUCCACACAUAAACCCCAUGGAACACGUAAAUGACAGUGAAUG